GACGUAGGGCGCGAGCGUUGUUCGGAAUUAUUGGGCGUAAAGCGCAUGUAGGCGGAUCAGUAAGUCGCGUGUGAAAGCCCCGGGCUCAACUCGGGAAGUGCGCGCGAAACUGCGGGUCUUGAGUGCUGGAGAGGGUGGCGGAAUUCCCGGUGUAGAGGUGAAAUUCGUAGAUAUCGGGAGGAACACCAGAGGCGAAGGCGGCCACCUGGACAGUAACUGACGCUGAGACGCGAAAGCGUGGGGAGCAAACAGGG
rnacentral:rRNA from 1 species